CCCGUGACGUCGCGAGAAGUCCACUGAACCUUAUCAUUUAGAGGAAGGAGAAGUCGUAACAAGGUUUCCGUAGGUGAACCUGCGGAAGGAUCAUUGUCGAGACCUGCCCAGCAGAAGGACCGGCGAAC
rnacentral:rRNA from 1 species